GUGGCUAGCUGGCACAGCGAGAACCAGGGCAGAAACCUGGAGGCUGGAGAAUGAAAGGCGAGUCCUGGAGGCCUGGGAGAUUCUACUGAGAAGUAAAAGGGAGGAUGACGGGAAGAAGAAGGGGACAAAAGCCAGCCGUUUGUGCUGUGCCCAGAUGGUCUUGGCUUGGGGCCACUUGUUUUGGCCUGCUGUGGAGAGGGGCAAGAGAACCCAUUUUUGGAGGGAAUUUGAAGAAGCUGGAACGAGGGAGCUUUAUGUGGCACAGAGGGGACAAGGAGAUUGAAAGAGCGGUCAGGUACGCCUUCCUGGAAGGGUAGCCCCUGCUCCAGCGGGUGACAGAAGUGUGUGAUUUGUGCCACACGUUCUUUUACUUUGCCCAGUAGGUUGUCUUAGAAAGUCGAGCCCCUCUGUAAAUGCUAGUCCACCUAAAACAGUGGGAAAUAAAUUUGGAAACUGUUUCUGAG
rnacentral:lncRNA from 1 species